rnacentral:sRNA from 1 species
UAGAAAAAGCCGAGCACCUUGCCUCCGACGUUCUUCCGCCUCGCUUCUUCGUGGUCCAUGAUUCCGGCAGAGGUGGUAAGGACAAUGUACCCAAACUACAUAACAUAUCAUACAGCCUAGCAGUCCAGGACUCGAUUUCCUUGACACCAACAUCAAAGCGUGGGCUGAUGACACCACACUUGUUAAGGCGUCCAUUCAGCUCAACCACGAUCUUGCCAGACCGGUGGUCAUCAACAAACUCAAACUCACCAAUACAUACCAUGCUUCUGCAUGACGAUGAGGAACUUGAUGAUCACCUUUGACGAGGGCCGGAUAAGAACUUGGCGCUUACCACGCUUCUCAGCAUUGUACAUGGUUUUCAGAGCGUCAUUGAGGACACUGACUCUCACCAUCUUGUC